rnacentral:lncRNA from 1 species
AUGUCAAACUGUAAUCAUACAGUCCAAUGGAGAAUGUUCAACUGGGGAGUGAACAAGCUAUGGUUGGAGCCCGGUGAGUUAGUACUGUCUAUUUGGCUGGGGUUUCCAGAUCUUGGGAGGCAACUGGGGAAGUGCCUGAGUCCCACAGCUCUCAGGCAGGAGCAUUGGUUGGUCUACUAAGGUGAAGAGUCCUGGGCCUCAUGUGUACCUGGAUGCCUUGACAGAAAUGUGGGCUUAAUCCAGUGAUUGGUGCUUCAUGGGGCAUCUCUGAAGACUUCAGCAGCACUGCAGAAAUGUUGCAGAUUUCGACAGGGAAGUGCCGAGGUAGGAACUAUAUCUGAUCUGAGAGCAUUCAUGCUCCAUAAGGUGCCAGAUUUUUGAACUUCUUUGACCACAGCAUGUGAUUUUCUUCAGUGUUGUGCUCAGCUCUCUGAGACAUGACUUUUUAUAAGCACCCAACUGAUACAAGAACACAAGUUCCAUUGAUUUUAAAGUGCUUGAAGUUCCUGUUUAUAUCUUUUCUUUAUAGUGGGGAGGCUGGGGAGAGAAGGGGCAGCUGUUGCACUGGUGUCCCUGCAAAUAUUUGAUUUUCUCUUUGAAACAGUAGCUAUGACUCUCAGAGGGGGAUAGUGAUUACAUUCUUAGAAUGUGUAAGUUAUAAAACUAGCCUUGUGAUCAGUUAAAAAAUGUGCAAGAAAGUACUUGCAUUCAGGAAAGUUAAUGUUCAAGUUUCAUUUCCUUUGGAGAAAAAUAUCAAUUCAGAGGAGCAAUAAAAGAUAGAAAAGAAUGGUAAACCA